CUUGCCUCUGAUUGCAACGCGAUAUCUUUUUUGCGUGGAAAUUUAAGGACAUUUUACAAUUGCACGUUUCCUCCUAGUGACUAGAUGAGUGUUCGUGCAAUUCAUGAAAACACCUUUUGUACCGCAGGCUACUUAAUAUCUAGUGCCGGUGCCAAUAUACUGCCACUGGGCGGAUCCCUUUAUAUUAUUGCCAGUUUGCUCAUAUGCUACCUUCUCUCGUUUCCAGAAGUCAUGCGCAGACUUUUGCUUGUGCUCUUGCUCUUUGGCUAUAUUUUGAGUGCUUUUUUUGCGUUCCGUGCGAUGGUCAAAAGCCGGGGCCACCUAAAAGUGCCAACCACACAUAAAAAAAAUACCGAUCAGUAAUAAACCAACGAGAGUGACCAACUUUUAAAUCGUUUUUGUAUACCGUUGAAGUUCCCAAAAAUUUUCAAGCACGCGCAGUAACUAAUCCGUAUAAUCGACCGCCGUGGCGCAUUGCACUAAUUCUUAUUAAUUAACGAGCCAAUGCGACUCCUGGUCCCGAGGCGCCUGAGGGGUAUUUUAUCCGUCUGGAGCUCUUUGACGUAUAUUAAAGCAUGCUACGUUAGCAUUUUUGCAUUUGUCGCCCCCUGAAACCAGGUGACCCUACAGGGGGAUCGAACCUGCGACCUUUCUUCUCAGCAGCGGAACACCAUAGCCCCUCACCGGCCACGGAGGAUAAAACUUACACUGAGAAAACGACGAGGAUUUCUUUAUGUUUUUUUUUUUACGUUGAACCAUUCUUAGUUUGACAAGUUUGUCCAUUUCAUCGUGAGAUGUUUACAACAGAGUUUUCUUUUUUUUUUCAGCGAUAUUAAAUUGUGUGGUGGAACAUCGACGCUGGAACAGUAUUUGGGACAGGAGUGGAACAAUACAUGCCCCGUUCCAAAGUUAACAACAAGGAUAAGCGUUGAAACGCUGCUGACGAAUUCAUUUGAUGCCCUGGUCGGAGGGGCCCCAACGACAAUCAACAUAGCAUUAGAAGUUUUUGAUGGAGGUUCAUCUGUGGGCUGCGAGACAUUCGAUGUCCACAUAAAAGCCGCAGAUGAGGACGACGAGUGAAUAAAGCUGCGUAAACCCGUGAAAUGGGGAGGUCACUA